rnacentral:rRNA from 1 species
GACGAACGCUGGCGGCGUGCUUAACACAUGCAAGUCGAGCGAUGAAGCCGGAGCUUGCUCUGGUGAAUUAGUGGUGAACGGGUGAGUAACACGUGAGUAACCUGCCCUUGACUCUGGGAUAACUGCUAGAAAUGGUAGCUAAUACCGGAUACGACCCUCGGAGGCAUCUCCAGGGGGUGGAAAGAAUUUCGGUCAAGGAUGGACUCGCGGCCUAUCAGCUAGUUGGUGAGGUAACGGCUCACCAAGGCGACGACGGGUAGCCGGCCUGAGAGGGUGACCGGCCACACUGGGACUGAGACACGGCCCAGACUCCUACGGGAGGCAGCAGUGGGGAAUAUUGCACAAUGGGCGCAAGCCUGAUGCAGCGACGCCGCGUGAGGGAUGACGGCCUUCGGGUUGUAAACCUCUUUCAGCACCGACGAAGCGCAAGUGACGGUAGGUGCAGAAGAAGGACCGGCCAACUACGUGCCAGCCGCCGCGGUAA